GACGAACGCUGGCGGCGUGCUUAACACAUGCAAGUCGAACGCUGAAGCCCUUCGGGGUGGAUGAGUGGCGAACGGGUGAGUAACACGUGGGUAAUCUGCCCUGCACUCUGGGAUAAGCCUUGGAAACGGGGUCUAAUACCGGAUAGGACACAUCGCCGCAUGGUGUGUGUGUGGAAAGUUCCGGCGGUGCAGGUUGAGCCCGCGGCCUAUCAGCUUGUUGGUGGGGUGAUGGCCUACCAAGGCGACGACGGGUAGCCGGCCUGAGAGGGUAACCGGCCACACUGGGACUGGGACACGGCCCAGACGCCGACGGGAGGAAGCAGGGGGGAAUCUUGCGCAAUGGGCGAAAGCCUGACGCAGCAGCGCCGCGUGGGGGAUGACGGCCUUCGGGUUGUAAACCUCUUUCGACCGGGACGAAGGAUUCGUUUGACGGUACCGGUAGAAGAAGCACCGGCUAACUACGUGCCAGCCGCCGCCGUAAUAC
rnacentral:rRNA from 1 species